rnacentral:rRNA from 1 species
GAUGAACGCUGGCGGCGUGCCUAAUACAUGCAAGUCGAGCGAACGGACGAGAAGCUUGCUUCUCUGAUGUUAGCGGCGGACGGGUGAGUAACACGUGGAUAACCUACCUAUAAUACUGGGAUAACUUCGGGAAACCGUAGCUAAUACCGGAUAAUAUUUUGAACCGCAUGGUUCAAAAGUGAAAGACGGUCUUGCUGUCACUUAUAGAUGGAUCCGCGCUGCAUUAGCUAGUUGGUAAGGUAACGGCUUACCAAGGCAACGAUGCAUAGCCGACCUGAGAGGGGGAUCGGCCACACUGGAACUGAGACACGGCCCAGACUCCUACGGGAGGCCGAGGUAGGGAAGCUUCCGAAAUGGGCGAAAGACUGACGGAGCAACGCAGGGUGAGUGAUGAAGGUCUUCGGAUCGUAAAACUCUGUUAUUAGGGAAGAACAUAUGUGUAAGUAACUGUGCACAUCUUGACGGUACCUAAUCAGAAAGCCACGGCUAACUACGU